rnacentral:rRNA from 1 species
AUUGAACGCUGGCGGCAUGCCUUACACAUGCAAGUCGAACGGCAGCGCGGGGCAACCUGGCGGCGAGUGUCGAACAGGUGAGUAAUAUAUCGGACCGUACCCUGGAGUGGGGGAUAACGUAGCGAAAGUUACGCUAAUACCGCAUAAGAUCUAAGGAGGAAAGUGGGGGAUCGCAAUACCUCAUGCUCCGGGAGCACCCCAUAUCUGAUCAGCUAGUUGGUGGGGUAAAGGCCUACCAGGGCAUCGAUAAGUAGCUGGUGUGCGAGGACGACCAGCCCCACUGGAACUGAGACACGGGCCAGACUCCUACGGGAGGCAGCAGUGGGUAAUUUUGGACAAUGAGCGCAAGCCUGAUCCAGCAAUGCCGCGUGAGUGAAGAAGGCCUUCGGGUUGUAAAGCUCUUUUGUCAGGGAAGAAACGGUGAGGGCUAAUAUCCUUUGCUAAUGACGGUACCUGAAGAAUAAGCACCGGCUAACUACGUGCCAGCAGCCGCGGUAACAC